AAAGGAAUUGACGGGGGCCCGCACAAGCGGAGGAACAUGUGGUUUAAUUCGAUGAUACGCGAGGAACCUUACCCGGGCUUGAAAUGCAUCCGACCGGCACGGAGACGUGCCUUCCCUUCGGGGCGGAUGCGUAGGUGCUGCAUGGUUGUCGUCAGCUCGUGCCGUGAGGUGUCGGCUUAAGUGCCAUAACGAGCGCAACCCCUAUCGCCAGUUGCUAGCAGGUCAUGCUGAGGACUCUGGCGAGACUGCCAUCGUAAGAUGCGAGGAAGGCGGGGAUGACGUCAAAUCAGCACGGCCCUUAUGUCCGGGGCGACACACGUGUUACAAUGGGCGGUACAAAGGGCGGCUACCGGGCGACCGGAUGCCAAUCCCCAAAACCGCUCUCAGUUCGGAUCGGAGUCUGCAACUCGACUCCGUGAAGCUGGAUUCGCUAGUAAUCGCGCAUCAGCCACGGCGCGGUGAAUACGUUCCCGGGCCUUGUACACACCGCCCGU
rnacentral:rRNA from 1 species